rnacentral:rRNA from 1 species
GUGCCAGCAGCCGCGGUAAGACAGAGGCCUCGAGCGUUAGGCGGAAUCACUGGGCUUAAAGCGUGUGUAGGCGGAUCGUUAAGUACCUUGUGAAAUCCCACGGCUCAACCGUGGAACGGCUGGGUAUACUGGCGGUCUUGGGCCAUUCAGGGGCGACUGGAACAAGCGGUGGAGCGGUGAAAUGCGUAGAUAUCGCUUGGAACGCCGAAGGUGAAAACAGGUCGCUGGGGAUGUGCCGACGCUGAGACACGAAAGCCAGGGGAGCAAACGGGAUUAGAAACCCUCGUAGUCC